rnacentral:sRNA from 4 species
GAAAGACGCGCAUUUGUUAUCAUCAUCCCUGCUACAGAGAUGCUAUUUUGGCCACAGGUAUUGUGGCCUUUU